CGCGGAGUAGAGCAGUUGGUAGCUCGUCGGGCUCAUAACCCGGAGGCCUCAGGUUCAAGUCCUGACUCCGCAACCA
rnacentral:tRNA from 1 species